rfam:Gasterosteus aculeatus cont1.013169, whole genome shotgun sequence.
UUUAAAGUGUAAUGUAAGUCGCUUUGGAUAAAAGCGUCUGCUAAAUGUAAUACA